rnacentral:lncRNA from 1 species
CACCUACCAAGACCCUUCUCUGACCACUCCAGGGCACAAUACUUUCAAGAUACUCUAAAAACCUAUGACAUGUGCAAUUUUUUUAUGUACAUAAAAAAUUGAUUAUAUGCUAUAUAGUAUCCCUAUUGAUUUCUUUUUUUGGGGUCUGUGAACGUUUCAUAUCUAAGAACAGACACAAACUUUCUGAGGGCUUGGUACCAAUUACCACAAUUAUUUAGCACAAAAUUGCCAUUUUGUUAAAAUUCAGCUGAUUUAAUGAAUAGUCACAUAGUCGUGUAGUCAUUCAAAUGGUAUCUCCAAAGGAUGUUGAAAGAAACAACCAGAGUUUAUAAAACCUUAUUUUCUACAGAACCCAAACUGAAUGAUGUAGAUGACUUAGACAUUACUAUAUCAGAAGGCUCAGGGCUAGACCAGGUAAGUCCUUGAAAUUAUCUUCCAAAGGGCUGCCAAGGUGAUUAUCUGUAACAUCUAAAGAUAUAAGAAUAUCGAGACCAGUCAGGGUUGACCUCUCUUUUUGAAAAUAGAUGAGGUUUUCCUUUAGGGUAGGGCGCUUUAGAGUAGACCAAAUAAGUAAAGGCAACCGCAGUUUUAAAAAAAUUUCAAGGGGUGCCUGGGUGGCUCAGUUGGCUAAGUGUCUGACUCUUGAUAUUGGCUUAGGUCAUGAUCUCAUGGUUCGUGGGAUUGAGCCCUGCGUUGGGAUCUUUGCUGACAGCAUGGAGCCUGCUUGGGAUUCUUCCUCUCCCUCUGCCCGUCCCCCCACUUGCUCGCACACACGUGUUCUAUCUUUCUCUCUCAAAAUAAAAAGCACACACAAAAAAAAAGAAAUUUCAAGAACAUAAAGAACAGGUUCCUCCAGUAAAAAUGUACCGAACGCAUGUGUGUUUAUGCCAUGGACACAAAGACAAAUCAGGUAUGUACUUGGUCUUUAGGAAACUAUGAUUCAGUAGGAGAGGUUAGAUAUGUGUGCAAAUCAACAUAUGAAAGAAAUCAAGAAGAGAGUCCUAGGAAUUACUAUGAAGUUUAGCAGAAGAAAAACUGCAUAUUGUUUGGGGGAAAUCAUAAAGAAGAUUCCUGGAGAGGACAGUAUUUUUUAACUGGACUAUGAAGAACAGAUUAAAUGGAGGAAAUGGAGGAAAGAGAAGAUAAUUAAUCGUACACAGUACAGUAAAUGACUAAGCUAAUUUUACAAAUCCUAACAUUUGACACUACAGCCCAAGGUACAGAGCCAAGUUUUGCUGUUACUCACAGUACUAGCUAGAUCAUAUAUAAACAGAUGAUUUCUUUUGAUAGUUUCUUCAUCUCCUAAUUAAAGUAAAAAAUAUUAACUUCAUAGAAAUUAAUGUCACAUAUCCAUUAAAAUCCAUAGUAAUAAAUGGAAUAUUUCACUUAACAAAAGAAAAUGAAAAAUGGAAGUAAAUAUUUUUAGAAUACAAAUAAAUACAUUGUAUACUUUUUCCUCUCCUUCAGGUGAUGACAAUAGUGCUUUUUCCUCUUGCUCUGGUGUAGGCUCAGCAUCUCCAGAGAUGAGCUUUCCAAAUACCUGAUAAAGACAGGAAUGUGAGAAGGAAUCAAUGGCAGUAAUUACUAGUGUGAAACCUAAAGGAUGCAUGAGCUAAUACUGCAGGUUUUAUAAUAUUACUAUGCUGUUCUUGCUAUACGCUACUACUUUUAAGAAUUAAUGAAUGCAAAAUGAAACAUAGGAGUUUAGGGCUAGGAGAAGAAGAGAAAAUGGGUCAUAUGUUUGCCAGCCAUCUCUAACAAGCUUUACAAAGUAUUCUGUUACCCUUUGGUAUCAGCAUUGCAGAAGAUAUGAUUUCAGUGUAUCGUGUGCCAGAACCUGGAGUGAGGACACUCACUUGAGACGUAAUAAGUCUGAACACUCGCAGAGUCUCGGCUUCACAGUUCCUUUGCUGGGCCACACUGGCUGAAAUCUGGCCAGCAAUUUUUGUGCUUUCACCAUCCUUCCAGCCCAGGACUUUUACUUGUCGAACUCUCAGUGUAUUUUCUGGGCCCUUUAAUUCAAUCUUGAUGAUGUGAUUAUCCCCUCCUGGAAGUUCACUUGUUACCCAACCAAUGUGCCUAGAAUCCAGAUCAACCUAGCAAACAGAAAAGGGAUAGAAACCUGAUACAGCCAUAUCACUCUCUUAUCAAGGUCCUAGACUUAGCGCUAAUAACUGCAAGCUCAAAUAACAAAGACUUGUACGGAGACUAAGGUUUACUGUGUUAUUUCACACUGACUAUCUUACUUAAGCCUGGUGAGGAUAAGUAAUACUACAGUAGCUAUUAUACAGAUGAAGUGAGGUUAA